rnacentral:rRNA from 1 species
UAGCGUAGGGCGCAAGCGUUAUCCGGAAUUAUUGGGCGUAAAGGAGCUCGUAGGCGGUUUGUCGCGUCUGCCGUGAAAGUCCGGGGCUCAACUCCGGAUCUGCGGUGGGUACGGGCAGACUAGAGUGCGGUAGGGGAGAUUGGAAUCUGGUGUAGCGGUGGAAUGCGCAGAUAUCAGGAGGAACACCGAUGGCGAAGGCGGUUCUCUGGGCGAUG